AUGGAGAGGAACCUGGGAGCUGUGCUGGGGAUUCUGUGGGUGCAGAUUUGCUGGGUGAAAGGAGAUUCAGUGGAGCAGAGUCCUUCAGCCUUGAGUCUACACGAGGGAACCAGUUCUGUUCUGAGAUGCAAUUUUUCUAUCACCAUUACAACUGUGCAGUGGUUCCGACAGAAUCCCAGGGGCAGCCUCAUCAGUCUGUUCUUCCUGGCUUCAGGAACAAAGGAUAACGGGAGAUUAAACUCAACAUUCAGUUCUAAGGAGCGCUACAGCGCCCUGCACAUCAGCAUUGCACAGCUGGAGGACUCAGGCACCUACUUCUGUGCUGCUGAGGCACAGUGCUCCCAGUGA